rnacentral:rRNA from 1 species
CUGGCGGCGUGCCUAAUACAUGCAAGUCGAGCGGACAGAUGGGAGCUUGCUCCCUGAUGUUAGCGGCGGACGGGUGAGUAACACGUGGGUAACCUGCCUGUAAGACUGGGAUAACUCCGGGAAACCGGGGCUAAUACCGGAUGCUUGUUUGAACCGCAUGGUUCAAACAUAAAAGGUGGCUUCGGCUACCACUUACAGAUGGACCCGCGGCGCAUUAGCUAGUUGGUGAGGUAAUGGCUCACCAAGGCAACGAUGCGUAGCCGACCUGAGAGGGUGAUCGGCCACACUGGGACUGAGACACGGCCCAGACUCCUACGGGAGGCAGCAGUAGGGAAUCUUCCGCAAUGGACGAAAGUCUGACGGAGCAACGCCGCGUGAGUGAUGAAGGUUUUCGGAUCGUAAAGCUCUGUUGUUAGGGAAGAACAAGUACCGUUCGAAUAGGGCGGUACCUUGACGGUACCUAACCAGAAAGCCACGGCUAACUACGUGCCAGCAGCCGCGGUAAUACGUAGGUGGCAAGCGUUGUCCGGAAUUAUUGGGCGUAAAGGGCUCGCAGGCGGUUUCUUAAGUCUGAUGUGAAAGCCCCCGGCUCAACCGGGGAGGGUCAUUGGAAACUGGGGAACUUGAGUGCAGAAGAGGAGAGUGGAAUUCCACGUGUAGCGGUGAAAUGCGUAGAGAUGUGGAGGAACACCAGUGGCGAAGGCGACUCUCUGGUCUGUAACUGACGCUGAGGAGCGAAAGCGUGGGGAGCGAACAGGAUUAGAUACCCUGGUAGUCCACGCCGUAAACGAUGAGUGCUAAGUGUUAGGGGGUUUCCGCCCCUUAGUGCUGCAGCUAACGCAUUAAGCACUCCGCCUGGGGAGUACGGUCGCAAGACUGAAACUCAAAGGAAUUGACGGGGGCCCGCACAAGCGGUGGAGCAUGUGGUUUAAUUCGAAGCAACGCGAAGAACCUUACCAGGUCUUGACAUCCUCUGACAAUCCUAGAGAUAGGACGUCCCCUUCGGGGGCAGAGUGACAGGUGGUGCAUGGUUGUCGUCAGCUCGUGUCGUGAGAUGUUGGGUUAAGUCCCGCAACGAGCGCAACCCUUGAUCUUAGUUGCCAGCAUUCAGUUGGGCACUCUAAGGUGACUGCCGGUGACAAACCGGAGGAAGGUGGGGAUGACGUCAAAUCAUCAUGCCCCUUAUGACCUGGGCUACACACGUGCUACAAUGGACAGAACAAAGGGCAGCGAAACCGCGAGG